rnacentral:lncRNA from 1 species
CCACGAUCGACCUCUUUCGCUGAAGUCAGGAGUGACAGCAAUUAACUCCUCCGCUGCACCGUCCCCAGGGCCAGAUGCCACGUGAGAGACCCCAGGCUGGAGCGAGAACCUACUUUGGGAGGAUUGAAAGCUACAAAGGACGUUUGGGUGACCUCCCCACAACACAAGGUGGGGUGGGGGGUUUCAACCCACACUGCCCCAUCUUGAAUCGCCAUGGAUGACCAAGUAGUUGAAACACGACGGGGGACUUAGGUGCCAGUCCUUCUAGGCAGAAGGGCCCUCUUGGGUAAGUCCCUUUUCAGUCCUUAGUGUCUUCCAGAUAGCAGUAUAGUAUCUGUGGAAUCCGAUGGACCUUGGUUUAAAU